UGCGCAGGCGGGGAAAUAAGUCAGUGGUGAAAAGCUGCCGCUUAACGGUAGUCUUGCCAAUGAUACUGUUUUUCUUGAGUAUGGUUAAGGUAGGCGGAAUGUGCAGUGUAGCGGUGAAAUGCAUAGAGAUUACACAGAAGGCCGAUUGCGGAGGCAGCUUACUGAGCCAUAACUGACGCUGAGGCACGAAAGCGUGGGGAUCGAGCAGGAUUAGAUACCCUGGUAGUCC
rnacentral:rRNA from 1 species